CGGCACGGGUGAGUAACACGUAUCCAACCUGCCGUCUACUCUUGGACAGCCUUCUGAAAGGAAGAUUAAUACAAGAUGGCAUCAUGAGUUCACAUGUUCACAUGAUUAAGGGUAUUCCGGUAGACGAUGGGGAUGCGUUCCAUUAGAUAGUAGGCGGGGUAACGGCCCACCUAGUCUUCGAUGGAUAGGGGUUCUGAGAGGAAGGUCCCCCACAUUGGAACUGAGACACGGUCCAA
rnacentral:rRNA from 1 species